rnacentral:rRNA from 1 species
UUGCCAGCAGUUCGGCUGGGCGACUCUAAGGGACGUGCCGGUGGUCAAACCGGAGGAAGGUGGGGAUGACGUCAAAUCAUCAUGCCCCUUAUGUUCUGGGCUACACACGUGCUACAAUGGCCGGUACAGACGGACGCAAAGCCGCGAGGUGGCGCCAAUCCAUAAAGUUGGUCUCAGUUCAGAUUGUAGGCUGCAACCCGCCUGCAUGAAGAUGGAGUUGCUAGUAACCGCAGGUCAGCUAUACUGCGGUGAAUACAUUCCCGGGGCCU